rnacentral:rRNA from 1 species
UAACGCGUGAGUAACCUGCCUUGGAGAGGGGAAUAACACAUCGAAAGAUGUGCUAAUACCGCAUGAAAUGUCUGAAUCGCAUGGUUCCGGACAUCAAAGAUUUAUCGCUCUGAGAUGGACUCGCGUCUGAUUAGCUGGUUGGCGGGGUAACGGCCCACCAAGGCGACGAUGCGUAGGGGUUCUGAGAGGAAGGUCCCCCACACUGGUACUGAGACACGGACCAGACUCCUACGGAAGGCAGCAG